rnacentral:lncRNA from 1 species
AUGUUUAUUUCACUCACAGUUCAGGAAACCAUCACUAAGAGUAGUUUGGAUAAAAUUACAAAGCAUUUGGCUUGGUCUACAUCUUUUCAUUUCUUCCAGAUCUCGAGGGGGCACAGCACUGCAGAGGGGACCCCACCAAAGAUUAAUCGACUAUCAUUUGUUAAAAAAGAAGCCAUCCAAAGGGGGAAGCAUCCAGAAAAGAAAAUUUUGCAUUCAUCUCUUUAAGAUCUAAGGUGACACAGUAAGAAGAUGUAAAUUUUUAAGGGAUGAUGUUAAUUUCUCCCGAGUCACGUGUGAAGUGACCAGGGGAAGAAAUGCAAUCAAUCCACCCAGAAAUCGGAUCUGCAAUGGGACCUGGUCCUGGAAUGGAAAUACCACAGAAUCUGCUUAGAGCUAAGGUUUGGACAACAUCUAUUCUGCUAAGCACUGAGAUUUUUUUUUUUUUUUUAAGAGAGGAAAGGGGAGAAGGAUAAAGUAGAAUCUAAUUUUGAGAAAUAAGGAUUAAAGGUUCCAUUAUUCAUGCUGUUUUCACUGUAUAUAUUGAGUUAACAACGUGUGAUUUUACUGGAUGAAAAUGUGGGCCACAUGCAAGGAGAGUGUGGGACAGAUCAAUCCCCAUGGUGACAGUAAUGAGUGAGGGUUAGUGUCUUGUCGGCGUGAGGCUAUAAACAGUCCUGGGUUUUGAGCUGGUAUAAUAAGUGGAGAUUGUUCCUGGGCAUACUGGGGAGCACAGAUAGUUUCUGCCACAGGAAAAGCAACCCCCCACUCCCCCAGGCAGAGAGGCUCAGCACCGCUAUC